GACGUAGGGCGCGAGCGUUGUCCGGAUUUAUUGGGCGUAAAGAGCUCGUAGGCGGCUUGUCGCGUCGUUCGUGAAAACCUGCAGCUCAACUGCAGGCUUGCGGUCGAUACGGGCAGGCUGGAGUUCGGUAGGGGAGACUGGAAUUCCUGGUGUAGCGGUGAAAUGCGCAGAUAUCAGGAAGAACACCCGUGGCGAAGGCGGCUCUCUGGGACGGUACUGACGCUGAGACGCGAAAGCGUGGGGAGCGAACAGG
rnacentral:rRNA from 1 species